GAUGAACGCUAGCGGCAGGCUUAACACAUGCAAGUCGAAGGGCAACGGGGAGAGUGCUUGCACUCUCUGCCGGCGACUGGCGCACGGGUGAGUAACACGUAUGCAACCUGCCCUCCACAGGGGGACAACCUUCCGAAAGGGAGGCUAAUCCCGCGUAUAUCCCUUGGGGGCAUCCCCGGGGGAGGAAAGGAUUACCGGUGGAGGAUGGGCAUGCGGCGCAUUAGGCAGUAGGCGGGGUAACGGCCCACCUAACCGACGAUGCGUAGGGGUUCUGAGAGGAAGGCCCCCCACACUGGUACUGAGACACGGACCAG
rnacentral:rRNA from 1 species